rnacentral:rRNA from 1 species
GAUGAACGCUGGCGGCGUGCCUAAUACAUGCAAGUCGAGCGAACGGACGAGAAGCUUGCUUCUCUGAUGUUAGCGGCGGACGGGUGAGUAACACGUGGAUAACCUACCUAUAAGGCUGGGAUAACUUCGGGAAACCGGAGCUAAUACCGGAUAAUAUUUUGAACCGCAUGGUUCAAAAGUGAAAGACGGUCUUGCUGUCACUUAUAGAUGGAUCCGCGCUGCAUUAGCUAGUUGGUAAGGUAACGGCUUACCAAGGCAACGAUGCAUAGCCGACCUGAGAGGGUGAUCGGCCACACUGGAACUGAGACACGGUCCAGACUCCUACGGGAGGCAGCAGUAGGGAAUCUUACGCAAUGGGCGAAAGCCUGACGGAGCAACGCCGCGUGAGUGAUGAAGGUCUUCGGAUCGUAAAACUCUGUUAUUAGGGAAGAACAUAUGUGUAAGUAACUGUGCACAUCUUGACGGUACCUAAUCAGAAAGCCACGGCUAACUACGUG